rnacentral:rRNA from 1 species
GGUUAAGCGACUAAGCGUACACGGUGGAUGCCCUGGCAGUCAGAGGCGAUGAAGGACGUGCUAAUCUGCGAUAAGCGUCGGUAAGGUGAUAUGAACCGUUAUAACCGGCGAUUUCCGAAUGGGGAAACCCAGUGUGAUUCGUCACACUAUCAUUAACUGAAUCCAUAGGUUAAUGAGGCGAACCGGGGGAACUGAAACAUCUAAGUACCCCGAGGAAAAGAAAUCAACCGAGAUUCCCCCAGUAGCGGCGAGCGAACGGGGAGCAGCCCAGAGCCUGAAUCAGUGUGUGUGUUAGUGGAAGCGUCUGGAAAGGCGCGCGAUACAGGGUGACAGCCCCGUACACAAAAAUGCACAUACUGUGAGCUCGAUGAGUAGGGCGGGACACGUGGUAUCCUGUCUGAAUAUGGGGGGACCAUCCUCCAAGGCUAAAUACUCCUGACUGACCGAUAGUGAACCAGUACCGUGAGGGAAAGGCGAAAAGAACCCCGGCGAGGGGAGUGAAAAAGAACCUGAAACCGUGUACGUACAAGCAGUGGGAGCCUCUUUAUGGGGUGACUGCGUACCUUUUGUAUAAUGGGUCAGCGACUUAUAUUCUGUAGCAAGGUUAACCGAAUAGGGGAGCCGAAGGGAAACCGAGUCUUAACUGGGCGUUAAGUUGCAGGGUAUAGACCCGAAACCCGGUGAUCUAGCCAUGGGCAGGUUGAAGGUUGGGUAACACUAACUGGAGGACCGAACCGACUAAUGUUGAAAAAUUAGCGGAUGACUUGUGGCUGGGGGUGAAAGGCCAAUCAAACCGGGAGAUAGCUGGUUCUCCCCGAAAGCUAUUUAGGUAGCGCCUCGUGAAUUCAUCUCCGGGGGUAGAGCACUGUUUCGGCAAGGGGGUCAUCCCGACUUACCAACCCGAUGCAAACUGCGAAUACCGGAGAAUGUUAUCACGGGAGACACACGGCGGGUGCUAACGUCCGUCGUGAAGAGGGAAACAACCCAGACCGCCAGCUAAGGUCCCAAAGUCAUGGUUAAGUGGGAAACGAUGUGGGAAGGCCCAGACAGCCAGGAUGUUGGCUUAGAAGCAGCCAUCAUUUAAAGAAAGCGUAAUAGCUCACUGGUCGAGUCGGCCUGCGCGGAAGAUGUAACGGGGCUAAACCAUGCACCGAAGCUGCGGCAGCGACGCUUAUGCGUUGUUGGGUAGGGGAGCGUUCUGUAAGCCUGCGAAGGUGUACUGUGAGGUAUGCUGGAGGUAUCAGAAGUGCGAAUGCUGACAUAAGUAACGAUAAAGCGGGUGAAAAGCCCGCUCGCCGGAAGACCAAGGGUUCCUGUCCAACGUUAAUCGGGGCAGGGUGAGUCGACCCCUAAGGCGAGGCCGAAAGGCGUAGUCGAUGGGAAACAGGUUAAUAUUCCUGUACUUGGUGUUACUGCGAAGGGGGGACGGAGAAGGCUAUGUUGGCCGGGCGACGGUUGUCCCGGUUUAAGCGUGUAGGCUGGUUUUCCAGGCAAAUCCGGAAAAUCAAGGCUGAGGCGUGAUGACGAGGCACUACGGUGCUGAAGCAACAAAUGCCCUGCUUCCAGGAAAAGCCUCUAAGCAUCAGGUAACAUCAAAUCGUACCCCAAACCGACACAGGUGGUCAGGUAGAGAAUACCAAGGCGCUUGAGAGAACUCGGGUGAAGGAACUAGGCAAAAUGGUGCCGUAACUUCGGGAGAAGGCACGCUGAUAUGUAGGUGAAGUCCCUCGCGGAUGGAGCUGAAAUCAGUCGAAGAUACCAGCUGGCUGCAACUGUUUAUUAAAAACACAGCACUGUGCAAACACGAAAGUGGACGUAUACGGUGUGACGCCUGCCCGGUGCCGGAAGGUUAAUUGAUGGGGUUAGCGGUAACGCGAAGCUCUUGAUCGAAGCCCCGGUAAACGGCGGCCGUAACUAUAACGGUCCUAAGGUAGCGAAAUUCCUUGUCGGGUAAGUUCCGACCUGCACGAAUGGCGUAAUGAUGGCCAGGCUGUCUCCACCCGAGACUCAGUGAAAUUGAACUCGCUGUGAAGAUGCAGUGUACCCGCGGCAAGACGGAAAGACCCCGUGAACCUUUACUAUAGCUUGACACUGAACAUUGAGCCUUGAUGUGUAGGAUAGGUGGGAGGCUUUGAAGUGUGGACGCCAGUCUGCAUGGAGCCGACCUUGAAAUACCACCCUUUAAUGUUUGAUGUUCUAACGUUGGCCCCUGAUCGGGGUUGCGGACAGUGUCUGGUGGGUAGUUUGACUGGGGCGGUCUCCUCCUAAAGAGUAACGGAGGAGCACGAAGGUUGGCUAAUCCUGGUCGGACAUCAGGAGGUUAGUGCAAUGGCAUAAGCCAGCUUGACUGCGAGCGUGACGGCGCGAGCAGGUGCGAAAGCAGGUCAUAGUGAUCCGGUGGUUCUGAAUGGAAGGGCCAUCGCUCAACGGAUAAAAGGUACUCCGGGGAUAACAGGCUGAUACCGCCCAAGAGUUCAUAUCGACGGCGGUGUUUGGCACCUCGAUGUCGGCUCAUCACAUCCUGGGGCUGAAGUAGGUCCCAAGGGUAUGGCUGUUCGCCAUUUAAAGUGGUACGCGAGCUGGGUUUAGAACGUCGUGAGACAGUUCGGUCCCUAUCUGCCGUGGGCGCUGGAGAACUGAGGGGGGCUGCUCCUAGUACGAGAGGACCGGAGUGGACGCAUCACUGGUGUUCGGGUUGUCAUGCCAAUGGCACUGCCCGGUAGCUAAAUGCGGAAGAGAUAAGUGCUGAAAGCAUCUAAGCACGAAACUUGCCCCGAGAUGAGUUCUCCCUGACUCCUUGAGAGUCCUGAAGGAACGUUGAAGACGACGACGUUGAUAGGCCGGGUGUGUAAGCGCAGCGAUGCGUUGAGCUAACCGGUACUAAUGAACCGUGAGGCUUAACCUU